AUUAAAAGCCAUAAAAAAUUGUUUUUAUUAGGACAUUAGCCAUGCAAGUCAGAAUCUGCUAAGGAGUGUGUAACAAUUCACCUGUCAAAUCAACUAGCCCUGAAAAUGGAUGGUGCUAAA
rnacentral:ncRNA from 1 species